CACUUCGUGUACUUUUACUUAACUCUGUCGCCAGGGAACUACGAGCUAAGCUUAAACCCAAAGGACUUGACGGUACCCCAUAUCCCCCUAGAGGAGCCUGUCCUAUAAUCGAUAACCCACGUUAAACCUCACCAUUUUUAGUUAAUCAGCCUGUAUACCGCCUCUUCAGCAAACCG
rnacentral:rRNA from 1 species